rnacentral:rRNA from 1 species
UUGGGCGUAAAGCGCGCGCAGGCGGAUUGGUCAGUCUGUCUUAAAAGUUCGGGGCUUAACCCCGUGAUGGGAUGGAAACUGCCAAUCUAGAGUAUCGGAGAGGAAAGUGGAAUUCCUAGUGUAGCGGUGAAAUGCGUAGAUAUUAGGAAGAACACCAGUGGCGAAGGCGACUUUCUGGACGAAAACUGACGCUGAGGCGCGAAAGCCAGGGGAGCGAACGGGAUUAGAUACCCCGGUAGUCCUGGCCGUAAACGAUGGGUACUAGGUGUAGGAGGUAUCGACCCCUUCUGUGCCGGAGUUAACGCAAUAAGUACCCCGCCUGGG